ACCUUGACUGAGGUGGUACUAAAGAACGUACCUGUUGACAGGUAUCAUGGACUUUUUUCGUAAUGGAAAAGCAAAA